UACGAAGGGGGCUAGCGUUGUUCGGAAUCACUGGGCGUAAAGCGCACGUAGGCGGAUCUUUUAAGUCAGGGGUGAAAUCCCAAGGCUCAACCUUGGAACUGCCUUUGAUACUGGGGAUCUCGAGUCCGGAAGAGGUUGGUGGAACUGCGAGUGUAGAGGUGAAAUUCGUAGAUAUUCGCAAGAACACCAGUGGCGAAGGCGGCCAACUGGUCCGGUACUGACGCUGAGGUGCGAAAGCGUGGGGAGCAAACAGGG
rnacentral:rRNA from 1 species